CUUGCUUCUUUGCUGGCGACCGGCGCACGGGUGAGUAACACGUAUCCAACCCGCCCUUUACUCGGGGAUAGCCUUUCGAAAGAAAGAUUAAUACCCGAUAGUAUAAUGAUUCCGCAUGGUUUCAUUAUUAAAGGAUUCCGGUAAAGGAUGGGGAUGCGUUCCAUUAGGUUGUUGGUGAGGUAACGGCUCACCAAGCCUUCGAUGGAUAGGGGUUCUGAGAGGAAGGUCCCCCACAUUGGAACUGAGACACGGUCCAA
rnacentral:rRNA from 1 species